AAAACAAGCUUUUUUUAUUUUCACUGCGCGCACUCUCUCUCUCUCUCUCUCUCUCUCUCAAACAUAUUUUCUUCUCCCAUUUUCCGUGAUCACGGUGAAUACAAAUGGCAAUUUGAUGCCCUAGAGCUGCGCAGCAAUGGCCUGUCAUACAAUCUCAGCGCAGGGCUUUUCGAUGUUCGGGGAUUUGAAUGGAGUUGGUGCCCAGUUGUAUUUGCGAAUUGCUUGUCCAUGAAUUUGACAACUCUUUGGCUUUUUUUUUUUUUCUUUGUUCUUCUUCUUUAAAACGCAAGUGGCAAACACGGUAAAGGAGCUGAUGGGUCCUCUGGGAUUAGAGAUGAAAGAUAGUAGUAGUUAUUGUGGGAAGUGGCAGGCAUUGACUGGGGGCUCAGGUUUUUGAAGUUGAAUAACAUGUCGGGGCCAUGAAAAUUGCUGCAGCAGAUUUUCUGGCAGGUCUCUUAAUGAUAGGGAGGUGGAGGAGCUCUCUUCUUUGUUAAUGUUGUUGAAGUGCUGUUGUCCAUCCAAAUGGGGAGAUUUUUGGUUCUUAGUUUUGGAUUCUCUGGGAAUUAUUUUUGUAAAUUGUUUUUUGAGCAUUUUUUUUUUUUCAUUUGUGAUAGCAUGUCCUUUCCACUUCACUAUAUUUUUUGGUAGGUAAAAGUAUGCGAAGUAGGAGAUCACAGAAGGUGUUGGCCUAACAAGACUUAAUCUCAUUUUGAUGAUAUUAAAUCAAGGUUACUUAACAUGUUUGUUUAAGUUUUUGUUUCAGAGCUGAAGUGUUUUUGUGAAAUCAAGUAAGCAUACUUAAAGAGCUUGAAUGAUAUCUAGACUUAAAGCUAUGAAUCAUAGAGGAUAUAAAGUUUCAAGUCAUGUGGGACAUGAAGUUCAUUGAAGCAGUGCAUAAAGCUCAGAAGAAUCUUGGAAGCUUCACAACAUGAAGACUUAGGAACUUAGAUUUAUCGUGUGAAAGUCUCAUGUAAGUACUUCAAAUUUCACUACUGAUGAUUGAAGCUCCUAGGAUAUAUCAUGGACUUAGAUACCUAGUUUAUACAUGGAAAAUAUUUUCUUAAAGUCCAAAUUUAGUUUUUCAAGGUAUGAAUUUAAGUUUGGAACCAAAACAUUGAAAAACAAGUAUUGCUGAAAGGUCAAGCGAUUGAAGUGUUACUAACUUUGAAAAUAUGCAAACAGAAUAGGCAUACGUGAUUGCCCUAUUGGGACCAGUCGACUGACCCUAUUUUGACUUUCAAAAUGCGCUACUUUUAAAAGAGGUUAGGCGAUUUACCCUUCGAGUCCAGUCAACUUAUGCGUAUGUUUAAACGAUUAAUAGCGCUGAUCUUGUUUCCAAAACUUGCAUGAUUGGUUUCCAAAUUGAAAGAAAAUUUAAGGGAAACUUUUUGAAACCCUAGAACACUAUUUAAACUUAAUAUUCUUGCACAUUAGGGUAAGAAGAGGGAACGGCACGACACAUAUUCUUUCAAAACUUUCUAGUUAUACUGCUGAAUUAUCUUUCUGAAAAGGUUGCUGUGUUAUUGCUGAAAACUCACAAAAUUCUGAUUUGAUCUUCUGAAACUCACAUUCUUUAAAUCAGAUUUUUGGUGAUAUACUUUCAAGUUUCAACUUCUAUAUUGUUUUAUUUGAAGUAUUGUGAUUCUAACAUUUAAUAAUUAGCUCGAUUGAGGAGUAUUCUUUUGUACAAGCAUUCUUGCUUUGUUUGCAUUGUUUUUUACGAUUUAGGCAUUUUGAAUCGUUGCCUAGCGAGAGGGUUGUUCUCGUUAGAGAAGUGAACGUGACCUUGAACGGAGAGAGGCUUUACUUUACCUGGUAAUGAAGUUGGAAAGGAAAUCAUCAAAGCAGGUUGCUUGAGGCAAGGACGUAGACUGUGGCCGAACCUUGUAAAAAUUACGGUGUUUAGCUUAUUCUUCCCUUAACUCUUUAAUUUUUGCAAGAUACAAACUGCGUGCAUGAUUUUAUAAUCUUUGAAAACUUGCUGAAGAUUUGAGAACUUGCUGGAAAUUGAUAUCGCUGAAUAUUGGAGAAUCUGUUGAAUGAUUGAAAACUGAUUUUCGGUUGAAACAAGAACACUUAAAGUUUUCUAAUUGUAUGUUGAAUUAAAAAUUUAGAAUAACAAAAGUCUUUGAAUCUUUGAAUAAAUAAGCUGAGGUAAAAGGGUUGGUAUUUAAUCAUACUAUUGAAGUAUAUAUAAUGAGAUAAACCAAUUUCCACUACUGAAAUCGUUUUUGUAAAUUUCAUUGAUUCCAGCUGAAAAUCAGAGUUUGGAAUAUUGCUUAACUGAAUUCAUUAAUUCUUGAUUUUAUAUUGUAAAUUCAGAUUUUAUAUUUAUCUUCAUAUUCAUAUCUAGGACUCCCGAUUGGUAUAGUAUGGUCGUUGCAUAGAUAUAUUAUUUGUGUAAAUCAUUGAAGUUUAAAAUAAUCAAGGGUUAACGUAAAUAGGAAUUCCGCAAAUAAAUUUAAAUAACCCAAUUCACCCCCCCUUUUAGGAAUGCAUCCUAAUUUUAGAAGGAUUUAUAUCUAGAUGUGCGUCUCUUACAUUUUAAUUAUUCAAAAUGCACCUCACAUAUUUUUGGCAUUGUUUUUUUCUAGAAAGGUUUGGAAUAGUUGUUUGGUUUGUUUAGAGGUAAUUGGUUUGCUCAAAAUAGGUGGAGGAUUUGUUGGCUAUUUCUUUUAUAGGAUUUGGUGGAAGCACGGAUGGCUGUCAUGGAGAUGUGGAAUUUUUGCAAUGUUGUGGCCUUGUGGAGCACUUGGUUGGAAUGGAAUGCUUGUAUGUGUUAGGAUUGGAAGAGUUUAUGGGUGGACUUGAUAUACAUGAGUGAACACCAACUUGACCCAAAAGCUUAAGCCUAUUGAGUCUUGGACCCAACCAUGUAUAUAAGCACACAUCAUCCAGUCUAAUUUUCCAAUGUGAGACAAGCUCACAAGUGGAAUUCUCAACAAUCUCCCCCUCACUUAUGAGUUCCAACCGCUCCUCCUUGAACGGAGACCAUCUCCCUUAUGAGAGUAAGUUCAAUUCCCCAACAGUUGUUCAAGUGGGCCUUACCACUGGCGCCUUACAUGCCUCGGAUUGCAUUCCACGUGCUUCCGAACCAAUCCUACCUCCCACCUCUUGACUCUAUUCGGAUCCAUCCCAGAGCCUAGAUGAUCCUUAUUGGCCUCGGUCACACACUUGGUGCUUCAACUGUUAGUACGUCAGGAGAAUUAACUUCACGUCUCAACUUUUACGAUGUUGCUAACCCAGAGUUAUGAACCGUUGGCUCUGAUAUCACUUGUUAGGACCGGAAGAGCCUAUGGGUGGGCUUGAUAUACAUGAGUGAAUACCAACUUGACCCAAAAGCUUAAGCCUAUUGGGUCUUGGGCCCAACCAUGUAUAUAAGCACACAUCAUCCACUCUAAUUUUCCAAUGUGGGACAAGUUCACUAGUGAAAUUCUCAACUAAUAUGUUUACAAGGAAGAAGGUGACAUGUUUCUGGCUGUACGAUAGUAUUCAUUAUUUGGCUUCAAUUUAUUGAAGGGGUGAACUUCUCUGAUUUUCAGCAAGAUUGACAGUCAGUACUAUUUUCAUUUAGUUUUUUAAUUUUUUGUACUGUCUUUCUCACAGGAGGUUUCUUAUCCUCCUUCCUAUACAUUCCUUCUUCUGUAAUGAAAUGUCUUCUUUUUCUAUGAAACUGUAUAUAUAGCAGCCAAAAAGCACCUGGGUCUCUCUCAUCUUUUCAACCUGUGUAGAAGCAUGCUCUGACACCACCUGCAUGUGAUUGAAUGUUUUUUUUCAUUUAUAAUGUUGAUCAGUAUAUGAUUUUUCAUUUCAAUGGUCCAUUGAACAUAAACAAACAAUCUGGACCAGUAGUUAGGUUGGAAACCAUGGUCUCCGUAGCUUAUACUAUGGUAGUUUUGCUGUGUAAUUUCUUACUGUGUAUCUUGAGUUUUAUGAUGAGCGGCAUAACAAAUACACCUUUUCCUUGUUGAUAUUAGCAGGGCCAUCACAUGGAAUAUGAUAACUAUGGUCAUGCAUUUCUUCCUUGGCUUAAUCAUUUUGGUAUUGAACCUCGACGAACAUUUCUUGGUUCAGUUAGAUGACUGGGUUUUUCUUUCUUUCUUCUUUCUUUCUUUCUUGGCUGGCUUCUCUUUUGUUCGUUUUUUUCCUCCUUUUAUUUUUCCAUUCCUUUUGAGUUCACAGUUGCUCAAAGAUAAGAGACACUACCUCAACUCAGCCUGGAAGUCGAGAAAAUUGUGUGUUCGCUGGAUCCUUAUCUUAAAAAAGCAGCUGCUGCAGUAGCUAAAAUACUUAGGGAAAAAGGGCAAAGUUCUAAUCUUGUUUUUGAGAACAAACCACUCAAAUGGCACAUAAGUCCCUCUAUUCAGAUGUUUAUUGGUUUCUUAGCUUAUUAUAUUGUUGGAUGCUGUUAUUCUAUGUAUCCUUUUUAAUCUUGUUUUUAAGGGGGUUCAUAUGGGCAUCAUGGAUAAAUGUAUACAGACUGAUACUGGUGGGGAGUUCACAGUGGCAAAGAGGUAUGAUUGGUGUAAAAUCCUCUUCCAUUAUAUGAGAUCAAACAUAAUGAACUAGAGUGAUCAGAUUUGGCUGUUUUGGAGGUUUGUAUUUUGUAUAUUAUUCUUGAUGGACUAAAAUAUUUUCCAGUUCAUUUUUUUCCCACCUUUUAACUAUUGCUUGUAUUUGUUUUUCAUAGAUUUUCUGGCAAUAUACAAUCAAUUUUCCCAUAGAUCUCAUAAAUGCUAGCUCACGCAAUCAAGAUGUUUAAUUCUGCUUCAAUUUACGACCUUUGCUAGUCUGUGAUAUGGUUCUUCAUGUUCCACUAGAUUGUUGCUUUUACAAACAGGCAAUUGUGAAUUGUAAAUAAGGCAGAUUUGUUGGAACUCUUGCAAUUUGUAAAUGAAAUUUAAUUUUGUUUUAGGUUUCUUGAUAUAUGUCUAAUGAGAAGCUAGAUUGACACCCUUUUUUAAGUGGUCUUAUUUUCCUUGAGUGCAUUUAGCUCUAUACUCUGCUAUGGAUCCUUAAGUAGUCUUAAUCUGCUUUGGUUAGCCAUUUCUUUGAACUUGUUAAGGCUUGAUAUACAUUGUUGGCCAACAACCUAACAGCUUACGCUUUUAGGUAUAGUGGUAUUCUAACAUGAUAUCAAAGUUGGUUACUAGGAGGUCCUGGGUUCUAGUAUUGUUGCCUGUGUUUAUUGUAUAUUUGUUAAGAACUACCUUACUUUCUUUAAUGGGCGCUGUUUAUCGUUUGUUUCUCUCUUCAAAUGCUGUCAGGCUGCAUGUGUAGGGGAGUGUUAAGGCUUGACGUACAUUGUUGGCCCACAACCUAACAACUUAAGUUUUUAGGUAAAGUGGUAUUCUCAGAGAAUUAAACCGUGUUGCCUUCUUUAUAGUUGUCAUCCAGGCAUAGAAAUGAUCAUUAAUGUAAUAACUCUGUUCAAAUUUGAAUGGUGGUCAAUCUACUUGCAGAAUUUUGCUUCAUUGAGAUUUGAGAGGUAAUAUAUAGUAAACGCCUUUGAAGUGGCCUCUAGCUUAGCUUUUUAUUUUAUGCAGUUUUGCUACAAAUGCCGUGUCUUAAGUUUCUGUGUUUAAACACAUGCAGCUAUCAAUUUUUUAAUCCAAUGGCUGGAAGGAGGGAAUAAAAAGAAAUGCUUUAAGAGGCACAGGAGAUGGGCAGUUUUGACAGCUUGUGUUUCAUAUCUCUUCCUGUUCUAUUGCAGAAGAUGCUGUCUGGUCAAUAAUCAUGAAUAUAGAGUGACUGAGUGAGCUUUGCUGAAAUUAAAUGUUGUGGUGGAUGAGUUGCAAGGAUGGAAUUGGAAAUGAAGACGUUUAUUGAGUUUAAAGUAAAAGUGACACUAGGGAAACUGUCUAAAGGCCACUGUGUCAUCUGCAUUGAAAAACAAUGAUUGUACUACAAAGCAGCGAAUUUCCCUAAUAACAGUUUAUUUAUGAUGCAAAAUGUUUGGAAGUCGUUAACAACAUUUACAUAUGAUGAGUGUAACAAAAUGAGGAUGUCAAGCCAAUUUGGUGGGAGCAUGAUGUCAAACCCGACAGUGAAAACGAAUCCUUGGGACUAUGAAUCCAUCUUUGCAAUUUCACAUGGCCUAAGGGAUGGGGCAAUAUCCUUUGGAAGUCAAGACUCCAAAUUGAAUCCAUCUUGUUACCCCAAGUACCCCUCCUAUAGCAUCUAGUUUUUACAACUCUUCACUUUUACUUUUUUGGAGUGUUAUUCAGAUGUAAAAAUUAGAAAUCAAGUUUUUUUUUUUUUUUUCUCCAUUUAAAGUGAAAUUAUGAUGAUUGCUGAGUAUAUGUUUGGGUUUCGUUCUUCCGCUACCCAUAGGCUUCAUGUUACAGUUAGCACCGCAGUUGUUGUGCCCUGGCUUUCUGAAAGGUUCUUUGAAAGAUUAGUGUUGGGAUUUUCUACCCUUCAAAAUUCAAGGAUCUCUAAUAAAUCUAGCUUUGGAGGUAGGAAAAUUGGAGAUCCUUGGAAGUUGAUGAGCCCAUAUUCAGUGUUGCUAUGAAUAAAAACUUGGCCUGUUUCUGAGGCCCCCACCACCAGGAAGUUCACAUAAAUUCAAAUUAAUCAUGGAUGAGUUUGUGUUAGCAUUCCUGAUAAGUGGAGACCUAUCGUUGUUUGUUGUUUGGUUCAUCUCUUUGCUGGUUUCUACCAUGCAUUUGUGGAGAGACUGCAUGAGUUCAAGGGAUUCAUGUCACCCUUUAAAGUUCUUUCUUGCUUGAGAUCAAGUUGGCCAUGACACCAAUAGAGACGGUCAACAAAUAAUAAUGAACACAGCAAUUCUUUUAAGAAGUAUUGAACACUGAUUUAUUUUCAACAACAUUUUUGCUUUUGUGCAAUUAUAUAACAUCGUAUAAUCUAUAUUGCAUUGCAUGGGUAAGUUAAUAUUCAGGGAACUGACCUGGACAAUUUUUUCCCCAAUUGUCUAAAUACACAACACACAUGUAUCCUCAAAUAUUUUUCUGCACUUAAACCAUACAACCUACAUUCAGUUCACUGAUGAAACCAUCCUGCUUGCUACUCAUGGCUUUGAUUUUGUUUGGGGUCUCUAGCUCUAGUUUGGUACAAAUGUUCCUACAUAACCAAAUCCCACAACAAAAAAGGCCCCAGCUUGCAGUAAUAGAUAGAUGAAAAAAUGGUCUUUUCCAAAGAGCAUGUCACAUAUUCCACAGUGUAACAGAAACAUUCCCAUUAUCAGCUCCAAAACAUAAAUCCUGUUUGUUCGAUUACAAACCGAAAUUACAUGUUAGAUAAAUCCCAAGAAAUUGUGUACUUUAAGAUUUUGACCCAUGUUUGGGAGCUUGUAGUCAAACUUUGAAUUUGGAUUUGUGUGGAUUUGGAUAAAUUGCAAUACAAAAUUGUAAUGCAUUUUUAUUUUUUUCAAAUCCUCACAAAUCCAAAUCUGAUGCCUCAAUCCAUGCUUCCAAACACAACCAAUGCUUCCAAACACAACCAAAGAGAGCCGUGAUUUAUGUCAUCUGUCAGAUGAAUGAAACCUCAACUGAAAUUUUGAAUGUGUUUUUCUGUUUUGAGUUUUUGUUUCGUUCUGUUUCAUUUUUUUUGUAAUUAUGUCUGUGCAUAUGUGGUUUUUCCUUUUUUCUUUUUUAGUCUGGCAGGGGUGGGGUGGGGGCGGUGACGGCUUUGAGGUUUACCUUUCUCCAACUGUAGAUCGUGGCUUCUUUGGUGCUUUGGUAAUUUUGUUUUGCUUUAUGGCACUCCCCAGCUUCUCAGUCACAACCCAUUCAUUGACACAGUUAGCUUCUAAUAGUCCGAUAAUUGCUGCCUUAGCUCGAUGGAGGGACAUCACAUUCUCAAACAGGAUCCAAAAGACAACCAGAUGCAGUGAUCUGCACCAAACAAAAAAGCACUAUAAGAAAACUGUAGAGGACCUGAAGCUGGACUGAAAUAACAAAGGACUUUCAUAUUCAUGUCUGCUCACUUGGUACCUUGGAGUGCAGAUUGCAUUUAAAAUGGUGAUAGUUGCUGGAAUAUAAAUAGCUAUGGGCUUUGGGAGAUGGACUUCAGGAACCAAAAUACUUGCGGGCAUGAUUACACAAUAAAAGAAGAAGGUGACCCAGUGCGCAACAAUCUUCCUCACAAAGAAGAACGCAUAUAUGACAUGAAAUUUCUUCCAGAUGGAUACUUUCUGCAAAGUUUAAUUAAUUGAGGUACUGAUUAAUGUGUGUUCAUAGAAUUGUCAAGUUCAGUUCAAACAUCUUAAAGUUGGAUAGAUACAUCUUGGUUAAGAGUACGAUGUUGUUUUGAGUAUGCCAACCUCACAAUGAAUGAUUUCCUUGGUCAUUUUCCUGAAGAGAUUGGCAGGGCCACAUGACCAGCGGUGCUGCUGAUACCGGUAUGCCUUGAAAGUGCUUGGGAGUUCAUUUUUUACCUGGAAAAAGAGUGAGGGUUUGUAGACUGACCAUAUACCUAUUGAACUCUGAAACACCAGUGUGUAUAACCUAAAGAAUUCAGAAGGCUAAUUAUUUCGAAUUCUUACUGCCAAGUCUCCAAGGAAGAGAAAUUUCCAACCCUUGAGGCUAGCUCUGACUGCAAGGUCCAUGUCUUCAACUGUGGUUCGAUCUUUCCAUCCGCCAGCAUCAUUUAUUGCCUGAAUCCGCCAAACACCCGCUGUUCCUGUGAAUGGUAAUUGCCAAUAGUUAUGACUAUAGCUUUUUUUAUUGAAGUUCAUGACCCAGGGAGUACUAGUUAUGUACCAUUGAAACCAAAGAAUGAGCAUGUUGACGAGCCCACUUCUUGCUCUACGUUGAAAUGGUAGUCGAGAGACAUCUCUUGGAGCCUAGUCAUCAGGCACUCAUCUGCAUUUACUACCAAAUAUAUAUGAAGUCGUUAAUAUUAACCUAGCCAUGAAAAAAGUUGAGAGAGAGAGAGAGAGAGAUGCAUGAAUCAGAGGUAUCAUGUAAUAUUUAUCUUUAUGCAGGUGGGUUUAACUUGUGUGAGAAUGUGAAUUUUAUUUUUAGGAAAUGCGAGUACAAAUGGAUAUUUGCAUAAACAGACUGGCGAGGGAGAGAAAAUGUUACAUGUUUUUCCUUCUUCCUCUUUGUUGGUAAUUUAUUUUACUUCUUUUU